AUUGAACGCUGGCGGCAUGCCUAACACAUGCAAGUCGAACGAGAGGCGGACGGGUGGGUAAUGUCUGGGCAACUGCGCGCUGGCGGGGGAUAACUACUGGAAACGGUAGCUAAUACCGCAUACCAUCGGAUGUGCCCAGAUGGGAUUAGGUAGUAGGUGGGGUAAAGGCUCACCAAGGCGACGAUCCCUAGCUGGUCUGAGAGGAUGACCAGCCACACUGGGACUGAGACACGGUCCAGACUCCUACGGGAGGCAGCAGUGGGGAAUAUUGGACAAUGGGCGCAAGCCUGAUGCAGCCAUGCCGCGUGUAUGAAGAAGGCCGUCGGGUUGUAAAGCACUGUUAGCGGGGAGGCGGUACUCGCAGAAGAAGCACCGGCUAACUCCGUGCCAGCAGCCGCGGUAAUAC
rnacentral:rRNA from 1 species